GUUCCACAACUUCAGCUUCUCGCCUCUCUUUCUUCUCUCGACCUAUAAUUUCAGUUUCUCUCUUUCUUCUCUGGCCUCUCGCUCUCUCUUUCUUCUCUUCGUCCAUCUUCUCAGUUUUCUCUUCGUCAUCGAGAAUUCGAGAUCGUCAAGGAGAUUGCCAAGAGCUGGAAGGGUUGUCAAUCCUCUCAGUUUUCUCUUCGUCUCUAGUCUCCGCCGCCGCUCCUGUCAUCUAGGCCCUCAAGGAGCCAGAUCGUGACCGCAAGGUCUAGAACAUCAAGCACAACGACAAGCUGGCAAUGAGGACCUGCGCAGGACCGCCGCUUUACCCGCACCUUUAUUCUUCUUCAUACUCUGCAGAUCCAGAGCGUUUCUCUCAAAUCCAGCCUUAUUGCCGAAGAUAUCAAGCAGCCCCGGGAAUUGAUGAGCUAAAAGAUGUGUUCAAGGAAUCUGGGGUUGUAAGGGUGCAGUCUAGAAAGAAAGCAGAGAUGUUUUUAGUACGAACAGAUGGGUUCUCUUGUACCUGAGAAAAAAGUGGGAAUCCUCCCUGGCCUUCACUCAUCCAAGUACUCAGCAACAAAUGCUUAUGUUGAAAUCUACACCGAAAACAGUAUUAGUGUAAGCCUGGGCAUGAACUAAUGGAAAAAGCUAAAGAGGUGGUGCAUACUGGAAGAAUUGCUCUAGUGCGUGAGUCAGGAGUUGAUUCUAGAUAUCUCUAUGGAUCUUCUUUUCCUCCUUAGUUUGACAAGCUGCAAGGUUGAACAAAUUUCAUGAACUGUUAUGAUUCGAUUGGAUGUUUCGAUUUAGGUUGAUGGAGUCAAUCAAGGCAUGAUGGGCUUCAACAAUUGAGCCUUGAUCAAUAUGAUAUUUUUGUUAUCA